GUUGCUGGGGAAGCCGGAAGCUGGUCCUGACAGCUGAGAGCCUGGGGCCCUGACACGGGCGGGGACAAAAUUGGUGGUUCAGACUUGCUGGGCGGGCACGUGCCUAGGUUCCCCAUGUAACCAGCCUAUCGGUCUUUAUGUGUUUUCCCACAUCUCCAGAUUUUUAAAAAUAAAUCCUUAGGGGCGCCUGGGUGGCUUGGACAGUUAAGCGUCCGACUCUUGGUUUUGGCUCCGGUCACUGAUCUCACGGUUCGUGGAUUUGAGCCCCGCGUCCGGGAUCGCACACGGGAACCAGCCGUGGUUACAGCGUCUCCCAAGAGCAGAGCGAGAACGAUACACCGUAUGGAGGUUGGGGCCUAGCGAGCCGACUCGUGUUCUGUUACCAGAGGCCAGUAACCUCUCUGGGCCUCUCUGGGCCUCAGUGUCUGACGUUCAUAAAGCGAAGGACGUAGAACAUGCUAGUGAUUUGCCAGCUUGUGAUCUGGAGCUGGGUGAAGGUGACCUGAUGGCAUUUUCACGGAUUUUAGGAGGCCACGACAAGGCAGCUCAAACCAUUAGCUACGACGGCAGUGAGCUUUGUAGACCAAAGUGGAGGAACCCCACACAAGUCUGGGAGGGGGGAAGGCGGGACCCCUGGCCCCUCGCCGGGGACUUCCGCUCACCAUCCCUGGCUCGGCCCUAUUGACGGGGUCCUGUGUGUUGAGGGUAGUUUGGAGGGGCUGAUGCGGGCAGAGGGGGACUCCGUUGGGACCCCGGACAGAGACCCUUCUGGAUGGACCUGAUCUGCUCUGAUUUCAGGAGCGAGUUAGUUUAUUCGUGCCAGAGAACUUACCCGUACUGGGUGGGCUCCAGGCAGCGUGGAGAUACAGAAGGAGGAGACCCAGGUCUCAAGGGGCUCAGAGUCCGGUUCACUGGAAGUAUGUCCAGAAGCUUCCAGAAGCCCAGUGGCAAAGCCAACAGCAGUGUGGAGCUGGUCAGAGGCGUCUGUGCGGGGCCCCCAGAGGCCACCUGCAGGGAAAGGGAGCCUCUCUGACUCCAGACAGCCACCCCGCGUCCCUGUGUCUCCAGGUGUGAAGGAAUCCAUAAAACACUCAGGCUGCUGUGUCUACAAGCACCUGCUGGCCCUAGUGGAGGGUAACGAAUUGGUUAAAUCAGGAGAGGCCUUGUCUUAAUUUAGGCUCCUGGUGGCACACACUGUCAGGCGUGUGGAUCUCAGGACAAGAACGGAGCACCGCGGUCUGGUUUGGUCGGUUCGGCGGUUCGAGGAAAUCAUCAUCGAUAAUUGUCUCGUUCUUUGUUUUCCCCUCCGGUGCUCCCACCUGCAUGGAGCCAAGUGCACAGAGGCGAGGCGGGAGAGAGAAGAGAAUGGAUCUGUGUCAUUUUUUGAGGAUGUUCCGUGAGAAAGGGCUCUGUGGCCAAGCAUGACAGGGCAUUUAAAAUUCAAGGUAGUAUAUGAAGGGCGCAGAGAAGUCACAGGGUCAAGAAACCGUUCAACUUGGACUGUUCCGACGUUGGUCAGACUGAUCGACCACAGAACCCUCUCCACAUGUCCCCUCUGGACUCCUGGGCUGCUGGUGUCGGUACAACACCUGCGAACCACACAGCAGACGGUCCUGUGACUCUUCCCCUUAGUGACUGUGGACAUUCUGCAGGGACAUCGGGCCACAAGUACUUGGUCCCCAUGGACACUCACCGCAGAUAACAGCAGUGGGGGAAGGUUUGCCUUGUGCCGGACGCUGUCAUAAACACUAAACGCGUGUUAUCUUCGUUCUUAGAAUAACAUUACGAGAGAGUCCUUAUCUCCUUCCACGGGUGAAGAAACUGAGGCUUAGAAGAGCCAAGUAACACUUGCCCGAGGUCACGUGGCUGGAAAGCACCAGAAUGCAAACUCCGGUCGUCUGACUUUGGGAUCCCCACCAGCCUGGGCUGCUUCCUGCGGCCACUGCAUCACCUCUAACUGUUGGAAGGUCCUUCCUUGUCUUGAGCCGAAGUCCAUUCCCAGCCACGCCCCUUUCUCCCAGGCGCACCCGACAGCGAUUUCAGUUCUGACACCCUCUGCCUGUUGUUUCGAGAGCUUUAUCCAGUCCGCUCCUUUUUCUCUUUUAGGUACGUGAGCAUCCCUUUUGGAUAGAGAGACUCAACUGAACACGACUCCGUCUACUCCACUAUAAUACGAUGGUUACGCUUUUAGGAUAUCACCUGGUGUCAAGAAACGUAACUUUUGGGGCGCCUGGGGGGCUCAGUCGGUUAAGCGGCCAACUUUGGCUCAGGUCACGAUCUCGCGGUCCGUGAGUUCGAGCCCCACGUCGGGCUCUGUGCUGACCGCUCAGAGCCUGGAGCCUGUUUCAGAUUCUGUGUCUCCCUCUCUCUCUGACCCUCCCCCGUUCAUGAUCUGUCUCUCUCUGUCUCAAAAAUAAAUAAACGUUAAAAAAAAAAUUAAAAAAAAAUAAAAAAGAAACGUAACUUUUUUUCCAGGGAGUUCUUGGCCAAUACAGGAGCUUUUUUUUUUUAGACAAGGUUAAGGGAUAAAAAGUUUUCAAUGUACAAUGCCAAAAUCUUUCCAUCAAGAAUUUUGAUCACGGGGAUGCCUGGGUGGCUCAGUCAGUUAGCCGUCUGACUCUGGCUCAGGUCAUGAGCUCACGGUUCCUGAGUUCGAGCCCCACUUCAGGCUCUGUGCUGACACCCUCCCUUCUCUUUCUCUCUCCCUGCUCCUCGUGGGAUUCUGUCUUUCUCCCUCCCUCUCUGCCCCUCGCUCACCCCACCAGAGCCCUCUCUCUCUCUCAGAAAAAAAAAAAAAAAAGAAUUUUGCUCACAGCUGUUUUUCAUAGCCCCAGGGAUAUUGCUCUGGGAACUUCAGCCACACUUGAUGGCCCCAGCUUCUGCUCUCUGCCCCCCUCCCUCCAAGCAUCGUUCCCAGUUUCUUACCAGGCUCACCAUUUCUACCCUUGUGACUCAUUGUUUGGUAAACAAGGCACAAAGCCAGGAAAACCUAGCAGCCGGCUGUUCCUAACAGCCUCCCAGGCGCUGUGCUGGUCCCAGCUGUGAUCUGCUUAUAACCGAUGGUGGUGCCUAGUGAGGCAAAUUGCUUUUUUACUAUUGAAUCAAUUUCCUUAGAGCCCGUUGUAGUUCUGAAAACCCCACUGAAGAACACUGGGACUCUGACUGGACCAGUGUAGCUUGGAAGGAUCGCUCUCUUGUUCCGAGCCCUGUACUUCAUUAAUUCAGCUCAAGAGCUCAGGUUUUGGGGCCCUGCAUUACCCAGAGAUACAUAUGGAGCUUGUUUUCAACCAGAAUUAAUUCCUCCCUGAUUCCGCUAUACCUCUGCAGGUGUGUUUUGGAGCCCCCACUGAAGAUGCUAUGUUUACAUUUAUUCAAGUUCAUUCGAUUAGACCAGUAUCGUUCUUCCAGCCUCCGGUGAUUGUCUGGGAGGCUGAUGAUGAAGGAGAAGCCUGGUGUCCUCUGUGAAACUGAUCACUAGAUGAGCAUUUCCCAACAGAAUGUUCCAUGGCGAUGGAAAAGCCAUAUAGCUCAGUGGUACACGAUGGUACCUGUUGGUGGCUGUUGAACACCUGAACUGAGGCUGAUGCAACUGAGGAGCUGAAUUUUAAAUUGUAUUUAAUUCUGAACAAAUUUUCAUAGUCACAUACGGCUAGUGGAUACCACAGUGGACAGGGUACAUCUAGAUGUUUACCUGAGAACUGGGCAAAAACUCUGAUCAGACCACCCAACUCUAACCGACUGAGCCACCCAGGCGCCUCUAUAUACACAUAUUUUAAAGAAAAUGGUUUUUUGGGUUUUUUUUUCAUACUUGUGGAAGGAAUUCAUGCCCGCUGUGGCGAAAUGCAGGAGAGCACAUAGAGGAAAUGAACAAUGACCAAUAAUCCUGCCGUCGGGGACAACUGGUGUUACUGUUUCAGCAUAUUGCCUUCAUCUUUUUUCUGUGGGGAUAUCUUUCACAUCGCUGAGAACAUACGUUCUCUGACAUUUGCAUACUGGUGUUUUUCAUCGACAGUGUUUUCUCAGAUCGUUAAACAUUCUUCCAAAACAGUCUUAAAGGCUGUAGAGCAGUUCAUUAUAUUAAUGACUAAUCAUUUGUAUGACCAGUCCCCCAUGGCUGUACUUUUGGGUUGCGUCUAACUUUUUCUGUUAUUGUAAAUAAACCGACGGUCACGUCUUUUUGUCCAAAA